GUGUCAGCCGCCGCGGUAAUACGGAGGGUGCAAGCGUUAUCCGGAAUCAUUGGGUUUAAAGGGUCCGCAGGCGGGCAUAUAAGUCAGUGGUGAAAGCCUACAGCUCAACUGUAGAACUGCCAUUGAUACUGUAAGUCUUGAAUUCGGUCGAAGUGGGCGGAAUGUGUAGUGUAGCGGUGAAAUGCAUAGAUAUUACACAGAACACCGAUAGCGAAGGCAGCUCACUAGGCCUGGAUUGACGCUCAGGGACGAAAGCGUGGGGAUCAAACAGGAUUAGAUACCCUGGUAGUCCACGCUGUAAACGAUGAUUACUCGUUUUCGGCGAUAUACAGUCGGAGACUAAGCGAAAGUGAUAAGUAAUCCACCUGGGGAGUACGACCGCAAGGUUGAAACUCAAAGGAAUUGACGGGG
rnacentral:rRNA from 1 species